AUGGGUUUUUUUUUGGCUGGAGGGCAACAUUGUUGCCUUCCGCCUCGCCUUCCACCAACCGGUGUUGAUUGACUCGGGAAUCACAUUCUUUUAUCUGAGUGCAGGGCAUUUAUUCAGAGUGUUUCUUUGCUGGUGUUUGUUGUGGCUGUUUGAUCACCCUUCCCCUCCAGUCGUCAAUAGGAUUCUUCCUGAGGGAGCGCCCCCGUCUUUGCCCUCGCUACUGUUGCAACAGCACUGGGCAUUUGCACCAUCUUCCCUUACGCCCUUCCGAUGUGGCUGCAUCAACGGCAUUAUUCCUUUACCUGAGACGCCGCUACUCUACCUAGCCAGAAUGAGUUCC